GACGAACGCUGGCGGCGUGCUUAACACAUGCAAGUCGAACGGAAAGGCCCUGCUUUUGUGGGGUGCUCGAGUGGCGAACGGGUGAGUAACACGUGAGUAACCUGUCCUUGACUUUGGGAUAACUUCAGGAAACUGGGGCUAAUACCGCAUAGGAUCUCCUGCUGCAUGGUGGGCGUUGGUAAGUUUCGGCGGUUGGGGCUGGACUCGCGGCUUAUCAGCUUGUUGGUGGGGUAGUGGCUUACCAAGGCUUUGACGGGUAGCCGGCCUGAGAGGGUGACCGGCCACAUUGGGACUGAGAUACGGCCCAGACUCCUACGGGAGGCAGCAGUGGGGAAUAUUGCACAAUGGGCGGAAGCCUGAUGCAGCAACGCCGCGUGCGGGAAGACGGCCUUCGGGUUGUAAACCGAUUUCGCCUGUGACGAAGCGUGAGUGACGGUAAUGGGUAAAGAAGCACCGGCUAACUACGUG
rnacentral:rRNA from 1 species